rnacentral:rRNA from 1 species
CCUACGGGAGGCAGCAGUGAGGAAUAUUGGUCAAUGGACGAGAGUCUGAACCAGCCAAGUAGCGUGAAGGAUGACUGCCCUAUGGGUUGUAAACUUCUUUUAUAGAGGAAUAAAACGAGGCACGUAUGCCUUUUUGCAUGUACUUUAUGAUUUAGGAUCGGCUAACUCCGUGCCAACAGCCGCGGUACUACGAUGGAUACGAGCGUUAUCCGGAUGUAUUGGGUUGAAAGGGAGCGUAGAUGGGUUGUUAAGUCAGUUGUGAAAGUUUGCGGCUCAACCGGAAAAUUGCACUUGAUACUGGCAGUCUAGAGUACAGUUGAGGUAGGCGGAAUUCAAGGUGUAGCGGUGAAAUGCGUAGAUAUCACGAAGAACCCCGAUGGCGAAGGCAGCUUACUAAACUGUGACUGACAUUGAGGCUCGAAAGUGUGGGUAUCAAACAGGAUUAGAUACCCUUGUAGUC